CGGGUGAGUAACGCGUGGGUAACCUGCCCUGUACAGGGGGAUAACAGUCAGAAAUGACUGCUAAUACCGCAUAAGACCACAGCACCGCAUGGUGCAGGGGUAAAAACUCCGGUGGUACAGGAUGGACCCGCGUCUGAUUAGCUGGUUGGUGAGGUAACGGCUCACCAAGGCGACGAUCAGUAGCCGGCUUGAGAGAGUGAACGGCCACAUUGGGACUGAGACACGGCCCAAACUCCUACGGGAGGCAGCAGUGGGGAAUAUUGCACAAUGGGGGAAACCCUGAUGCAGCGACGCCGCGUGAGUGAAGAAGUAUCUCGGUAUGUAAAAGCUCUAUCAGCAGGGAAGAAAAUGACGGUACCUGACUAAGAAGCCCCGGCUAACUACGUGCCAGCAGCCGCGGUAAUACGUAGGGGGCAAGCGUUAUCCGGAAUUACUGGGUGUAAAGGGUGCGUAGGUGGUAUGGCAAGUCAGAAGUGAAAACCCAGGGCUUAACUCUGGGACUGCUUUUGAAACUGUCAGACUGGAGUGCG
rnacentral:rRNA from 1 species